UGCUCAGUAACACGUCGAUAAUCUGACCUUAGAUCAGUGAUAGCCUUGGGAAACUGAGGGUAAUAACUGAUAGGAAAUUUGUUCUGGAAAUGAUUUAUUUCUGAAAGGUAACGUCUAAGGGUGAGUCGGCGGCAGAUUAGGCAGUUGGUGGGGUAACGGCCCACCAAACCUAAGAUCUGUAGGGGCCAUGAAAGUGGUAGCCUCGAGAAGGUCACUGAGAUACUGGACCUAGCCCUACGGGGUGCAGCAGGCGCGAAACCUUUACAAUGCGCUAACGCGUGAUAAGGGUACUCCAAGUGCUCAUGUUUUACAUGGGCUUUUGCCAAGGGUGAAUACCUUGGCGAAUAAGUGGUGGGCAAGACUGGUGCCAGCAGCCGCGGUAACCCCAGCGCCACAAGUGGUGAUCGGUUUUAUUGGGCCUAAAGCAUCCGUAGCUGGCCAAAAAAGUCUCUUGUGAAAUCGGGACGCUUAACGUACCGGACUGCAGGAGAUACUAUUUGGCUUGGAACUGGGAGGAGCAAGAGGAAUUUUGGGGGAAGCGGUAAAAUGCUAUAAUCCCCAAAAGACCACCGAUGGCGAAGGCAUCUUGCUAGAACAGAUUCGACAGUCAGGGAUGAAAGCUAGGGGAGCAAACCGGAUUAGAUACCCGAGUAGUCCUAGCCGUAAACGCUGUGAGUUAGGUGUUGCGUAUUCUUAGGGAAUACGCAGUAUCGUAGUGAAGACGUUAAACUCACCGCCUGGGAAGUAUGGU
rnacentral:rRNA from 1 species